rnacentral:misc_RNA from 1 species
GAUGAAGAACGCAGCGAAACGCGAUAAGUAAUGUGAAUUACAGAAUUCCGUGAAUCAUCGAAUCUUUGAACGCACAUUGCGCCCCCUGGCAUUCCGGGGGGCAUGCCUGUCCGAGCGUCAUUUCAGCCCUCCAGCCCGGCUGGGUGUUGGGCGCUGUCCCCCCGGGGACACGCCCCAAAGGCAGUGGCGGCGCCGCGUCGGGUCCUCGAGCGUAUGGGGCUUUGUCACCCGCUCGGGACGGACUCGUCGGCGCUGGUCUUCCUCCAGGCGACCCUUCGGGGCUCGUCUUCCUUCGGUUGACCUCGGAUCAGGUAGGGUUACCCGCUGAACUUAAGCAUAUCAAUAAGCGGAGGA